AAGGCGCUGGGGACCCGCGGCUUCUUUCAGGCAGGGUGGCUCUGUUUCCUGCCCCGUCUCCCUUGGUAACUGGGGGUCCACCUCUACCGGGGGAUUAAACAAAAGAAAUCUUUGUAGUCCACCUCAGUGGAGGCAGAGGGAACUGACGCACUUUUGGUGAUCAAAUAUUUCUCACCCACCUUCCCUGUUAAAUGGAGAAUCUCUGGAGUCUGGCUGCCUCCUAGGGGUACCUGGGCUCCCUGCCCCACUCACGCUGCCGGCUUCACUGGUGAGCUCACCUAGCCGGGCCACUGGUGCUGGUUCUCUGUUCCUACACGGUGGCUUCCGCAGACACACGUCCUGGGCUUCUACGGCUGCCCAGAGAAUCUUAAAUCGAAACAAAAACCCCCAAGCUAAUUCCCGUCCUGGAAUCUGCUUGGUGCCUCAACUUCCUUGUAGGUCCGCCGUGUGCUGAGGAAUCACUUCGGAAUGCUUGCUAGAAGAAAGACUCCUGAGUGCGACUUCACCGAAUCAGAAGGCUGAAGAUAGGGCCCUGAAGCUGCAUUUACACCCGCCCCUCCCCCCAGGGCAAUUCUGAGGUUGGCAGGCUCGCACCCUAGUUGGAGAAGUACUGCUUAAUAAGAGAUAAUGACCUGGCCCAGCCAUAGGUCAGGCGAGCCAUCCAAGAGCUAACAAGCAACCCGCGUGAAAGCGCCUUGUGAAUCUGAGAACAAACCAAUUCUUUGCAAAGACUAGUAAACCAACAAUCCAAAUAAUAUCCAAAAAAAUCUAAGUAAUAAUAAUAGUAAAAGAACUGGGGAGCGCACUGCGAACACGGUGCAGUCCACCCCGGCGCAGUCGGUGCGACUGUCUCUUUAAGGCUCCC
rnacentral:lncRNA from 1 species